rnacentral:rRNA from 1 species
UACGUAGGGUGCAAGCGUUACUCGGAAUUACUGGGCGUAAAGCGUGCGCAGGCGGCUUUGCAGGACAGAUGUGAAAUCCUCGGGCUUAACCUGGGAACUGCAUUUGUGACUGCAUGGCUGGAGUGCGGCAGAGGGGGAUGGAAUUCCGCGUGUAGCAGUGAAAUGCGUAGAUAUGCGGAGGAACACCGAUGGCGAAGGCAAUCCCCUGGGCCUGCACUGACGCUCAUGCACGAAAGCGUGGGGAGCAAACAGG